UUUAUGGAGAGUUUGAUCCUGGCUCAGGAUGAACGCUGGCGGCGUGCCUAAUACAUGCAAGUCGAGCGAACGGACGAGAAGCUUGCUUCUCUGAUGUUAGCGGCGGACGGGUGAGUAACACGUGGAUAACCUACCUAUAAGACUGGGAUAACUUCGGGAAACCGGAGCUAAUACCGGAUAAUAUUUUGAACCGCAUGGUUCAAAAGUGAAAGACGGUCUUACUGUCACUUAUAGAUGGAUCCGCGCUGCAUUAGCUAGUUGGUAAGGUAACGGCUUACCAAGGCAACGAUGCAUAGCCGACCUGAGAGGGUGAUCGGCCACACUGGAACUGAGACACGGUCCAGACUCCUACGGGAGGCAGCAGUAGGGAAUCUUCCGCAAUGGGCGAAAGCCUGACGGAGCAACGCCGCGUGAGUGAUGAAGGUCUUCGGAUCGUAAAACUCUGUUAUUAGGGAAGAACAUAUAUGUGUAAGUAACUGUGCACAUCUUGACGGUACCUAAUCAGAAAGCCACGGCUAACUACGUGCCAGCAGCCGCGGUAAUACGUAGGUGGCAAGCGUUAUCCGGAAUUAUUGGGCGUAAAGCGCGCGUAGGCGGUUUUUUAAGUCUGAUGUGAAAGCCCACGGCUCAACCGUGGAGGGUCAUUGGAAACUGGAAAACUUGAGUGCAGAAGAGGAAAGUGGAAUUCCAUGUGUAGCGGUGAAAUGCGCAGAGAUAUGGAGGAACACCAGUGGCGAAGGCGACUUUCUGGUCUGUAACUGACGCUGAUGUGCGAAAGCGUGGGGAUCAAACAGGAUUAGAUACCCUGGUAGUCCACGCCGUAAACGAUGAGUGCUAAGUGUUAGGGGUUUCCGCCCCUUAGUGCUGCAGCUAACGCAUUAAGCACUCCGCCUGGGGAGUACGACCGCAAGGUUGAAACUCAAAGGAAUUGACGGGGACCCGCACAAGCGGUGGAGCAUGUGGUUUAAUUCGAAGCAACGCGAAGAACCUUACCAAAUCUUGACAUCCUUUGACAACUCUAGAGAUAGAGCUUUCCCCUUCGGGGGACAAAGUGACAGGUGGUGCAUGGUUGUCGUCAGCUCGUGUCGUGAGAUGUUGGGUUAAGUCCCGCAACGAGCGCAACCCUUAAGCUUAGUUGCCAUCAUUAAGUUGGGCACUCUAAGUUGACUGCCGGUGACAAACCGGAGGAAGGUGGGGAUGACGUCAAAUCAUCAUGCCCCUUAUGAUUUGGGCUACACACGUGCUACAAUGGACAAUACAAAGGGCAGCGAAACCGCGAGGUCAAGCAAAUCCCAUAAAGUUGUUCUCAGUUCGGAUUGUAGUCUGCAACUCGACUACAUGAAGCUGGAAUCGCUAGUAAUCGUAGAUCAGCAUGCUACGGUGAAUACGUUCCCGGGUCUUGUACACACCGCCCGUCACACCACGAGAGUUUGUAACACCCGAAGCCGGUGGAGUAACCUUUUAGGAGCUAGCCGUCGAAGGUGGGACAAAUGAUUGGGGUGAAGUCGUAACAAGGUAGCCGUAUCGGAAGGUGCGGCUGGAUCACCUCCUUU
rnacentral:rRNA from 1 species